AUGUACCCACACCGCCCUACCGGCGAGUACCGGCUGUUACUGCAACAGAGGAACAACACUGACUCGUCUAGACAUCAAACUGGCCGCUGCUAUGUCUUUGCGCUGGGCUCCCACCAGCCACGGAGGUAUGUCGGGUGCUCGGAGAUCAAAUUAGCAUUCUUAGAUGUAGCUGUCCGGCUACGUGAUAGCCUGCACUGGUACCCGGUGCUGUAUGAGACUGAAAGCAGGCCAUGGGAGUAUGUGGGUAAAAGCGAACUGAUAAUCGUAUUCGACACCACAACUGAGUCGUUUCGGCAGAUGCGUGCUCCACCUGUCCCCACCAGCUCACGUAUCUGUGAGAUGGAUGACACGCUUGGCAUCUAUAGCUGUAACUGGGCCAUGGAAACUGUCGAUAUAUGGGUGCUGCACAACUACGAAAGUGAGGUUUGGGAUUUGAAGUACCGGGUUCAAUUGCCAGUCGCACAAAUCUGGGGGAACCUUGAAGGCAUUGUUGGUACUCUAGCCUAUUGGCAUGUGACCGUUGCUUUGAGUGAUGGCGACGUGCUCUUGCUGGUCAGACUUGGGCGUUCGCUGUUUUACGUUGACACUGAUGGCAAGCUGAUUGCUAUUUUCCGAGACAUCUCAGCCUAUAAACAUUGGCUCAAACAAACUCUUGUACCUCAUGAUUUCUUCAUGACACUAGACGGUUAUGCUGCGGACGCUUCGCCUUUCAUCUGA
rnacentral:rRNA from 1 species